GGCUCAUCGGUAAAGCAACUGCCUGCAAUGCAGGAGACCCGGGUUCGAUCCCUGG
rnacentral:tRNA from 1 species